ensembl:lncRNA
CGUGCCCAACGUCAUGCCCUACGUUAACUGCGCUCACCGCGCCGCAAGAAAGGUCUUGUUGCAAAGACAGACGCAAAUCACGGGCUGUAGACAGCCUAUCGCUUUCGGGCAGCUGUGAUUGACCGUGCAAAGCAGCUUGUGUUUGGACAUCCCCAGCAAACAGAUGUGUAAAGAGUGGGAGACGACGUGAUUGACUAGGAGCCGGAGGAGAGAUCUCAUGAGGUGACUGGGGGUUCUCCUCUGUAGUGGCUGUUCCAGUGUUUACUAGUGCAACAGCUGCUUACUCUAGCUGCCACGGUUACAACAUUUUGUGCGGAGUGCCAAGCUGGAGCCCAAAAUAGCAGCCGGCAAUCAACGUUUUGCACUGCAUUCUGG